AUCAUCGGUUCAGUCCACCCCCCCACCUUCUCCUCUGCCACAAUCUCCUCCACCACCUCCUUCAGUUAAAUAUCCACCACCAGUGCAAUCUCCCCCACCUCCAACACCAGUGCAAUCUCCACCACCACCUGUGCACUCUCCUCCUCCACCAGUAAGAUCGCCACCCUCACCUUCACCUCCACCACCUCCUUCAGUUCAAUAUCCACCACCAGUGCAAUCUCCCCCACCACCCGCGAACUCUCCUCCACCACCAAUACAAUCUCCAGCCCCAAUUUCACCUCCACCAGUGCAGUCACCCCCGCCUCCAACACCAAUGCAAUCUCCUCCUCCACCAGUAAGAUCUACAACCCCACCUUCACCUCCACCACCUCCUUCAGUUCAAUAUCCACCACCAGUGCAAUCUCCCCCACCUCCAACACCAGUGCAAUCUCCACCACCACCCGCGAACUCUCCUCCACCACCAAUACAAUCUCCAGCCCCAAUUUCACCUCCACCAGUGCAGUCACCCCCGCCUCCAACACCAAUGCAAUCUCCUCCACCACCAGUAAGAUCUACAACCCCACCUUCACCUCCACCACCUCCUUCAGUUCAAUAUCCACCACCAGUGCAAUCUCCCCCACCUCCAACACCAGUGCAAUCUCCACCACCCCCACCACCACCCGUGAACUCCCCUCCACCACCAAUACAAUCUCCAUCCCCAAUUUCACCUCCACCAGUGCAAUCAACCCCACCUCCAACACCAGUGCAAUCUCCACCACCACCUGUACACUCUCCUCCACCACCAGUAAGAUCUCCACACCUACCUUCACCUUCACGUUCAACGCCUCCUU
rnacentral:lncRNA from 1 species